UACGUAGGCAGCAAGCGUUGUUCGGAAUUACUGGGCGUAAAGAGUGUGUAGGCGGUGCUCUAAGUCCUGCGUGAAAUCUCGGGGCUCAACCCCGAGCGGUCGUGAGAAACUGGCAGGCUAGAGUGCGGGAGAGGAGAGUGGAAUUCCUGGUGUAGCGGUGAAAUGCGCAGAUAUCAGGAAGAACACCCGUGGCGAAGGCGGCUCUCUGGAACGCAACUGACGCUGAGACGCGAAAGCGUGGGGAGCAAACAGG
rnacentral:rRNA from 1 species